GGUGCCGCCCUGAGGAGGCGGGUCCGCCUCGCUUCGGCAGCUGCGCAGCGACUGCGCGGCCGGGGCCGCGCAGAGAGAAUUGGAGAAGAUGUGGGCAAAUUUCGGAGAACCGCUAGAGGCCAGUAGAAGCCUGGAAUGCCGAACCCAGGGACGGUGUAAUCGGAGAGAGCCGUUCGGGAUGUCGACUGCAACCCUUACCAGAAUUGGGAUUUAUGCUAAGGCUGGUAUUUGCUUUGUAGCUUUUUCACAUAAUACAUAAAAAUCAGAACAUGGAAGAAUUACUUUAAUUAUUUUAACACAGCAAUUUCAAAGUGUAGUGCAUGUAUCUAGUGAACGUAAUUAACAGGACUCCCAGUGGGGGGGGGGAGGAGGGGGAGAUAUAAAUGAAUAAGAGUUUAAAGACACCAAAAAAAGUCAGCUUCAGUUUUUUCACUUGCAUUAUUUUUAGUCUUGCUGGUGAUUUUUAUCUUUAUAUUUGUGGUUUCUUUCCUUAAAAAUUAGCCUUUUUUUUUCAAGGUUAACCUAACUAACUAUUCUUAUUUUCAAGCACUUACCCAUUAAAUGGGGUAUAGAAAAUAAUAAUAAUUUAAAAAAUCUUCUACCUACCAUCUUUCUGUCCAGGUCAUUACACUUUUCAAGACCCAUCCAUACAGUCAUCUCACAUGAAACAAAUUUUGCUUAGUCACAGCAAAUACUGACAAGCCUUUUGCCUAAGUGGAGAAACAGCAACAUCCAGUUAAUUCUCACAUAAUCCUUUAGCAGUAACCAGGCAAACACUAACCAUCAGUGAAACCAUGAAUAUGGGCCUUCUAAGAUAAAAUGCCACAAAGAAAUGGGCAGAUUCUGUUUACCCCAGAAGCCAAAGAAACAAGUUACCAAAUGCAUCAAUUAGCAGGUGUACUCAGGAACUCUCUAGGCUGAUGGUACCAAGUCAAAAAACAUACAGGUUUUCCCCUACCUUUCUAAGACUGCAAAAUUUGAAACAUCUGGAAUCAUUUUACUUUCCUUUUUCCCCAUAGCCGCCUUCUUAAAAACUACAUGUGACAUUAAAAUCUUGGUAAAUUUGGUUAAAUAAAUUAAUUUUAAAGGAAACCUCAGCUCCAUAUUUGCAUCAUGUUAAAGUCAGUUAUAGCUUUUGAGGCAGGAAGCAGAGCUGUCAGUUUUCAGACUCGCUGAAGCAAUGAGUGGGAUGAGGCUGUGGCCAGGAGAACAUCACCACCUCCAGAGUUGAGCCUAUUCAUGUCCCAAAUAUCUGCAACUUCAGUGUAUGUGCGCCACUGUAGAUUCAUUCUGCAUCCAGGUAUUGAAUACAUCUUUAAAGCCAGUAUUUUCAAAAGGAGCUGAAGCUGUAAUAGCUGUAAAUCUCUUUUCCAUCUGCUGGGGAAAUCCAAGCCACUUGGGUACUUUUAGUCUUUAAUUUCUUGGUUUACAGGUGCAAUUUCACAUUCUUAGUGGGGACUUCAUAGUGGAGAUAUGGAGAUAAACAUUUGUUUCCCUGAUUGAUUUAGUUAAUAAGCAAAUUAACAGACAGAACUCUUGUAGCUUUUUCCCUAAAAAUGUGUUAUUUGAAAAUACUAAUGCAAACACAGUCAAGUUUAGCACACAGGCCAGUCCAGAAGUUACCAUAAAACUACAUCAACAUCUUUCAGUGGGUUUCCAAACAUCCUGCCAUAGGCUAUGGCUUGCCCUCAGCUCUUGCAGGAGCAAGGUGCUGACUUGCAAGGCUUUGUCUCCUCUUUUUGGCAACCCAUGCAGAGUAGGAGUACUUUGAUGGCAUAUUUAAAAUACUGCAGCUUCCAGCAGGGUGGGCCAAAGGAUCUUGCCACUUAAAGCUGCUCUAGCAAGCGAAACCUUCCUAGAAACCAUGUUAAUAAUGUUGAUAAAUCCAGAUAAACAGCGGCACCAAUUACCUAAGCUGAUUUCACACUGAGAUGUGUACGACUACAUUUCCAAAAGCAAAAGCCAGAUUUUCCAUCCCUGUGAAUCUGCAGCACAGGCUACAAGUUGCCAGAUAAACAUUCACUGGGUUUAGUAAUGACUUUUGUCUCUCAACUCAUCUAAUUUGUUAACAGGAAUAGCAGAUACAAAAUGGGAUUUUCUACAAGCUUUACGUACAUAAGGAAUCCUGAUGACAGAUUAAUGUCAUUCAACCAGACCUCCUCACAUGAUUAGGCCUUGUGCAAUCAGCCACUUCUUUCUUUCCUACUGCUCCAAGCUGAAAAUUAGCAUUGGGAAAGCCCCAGACAACUCAAUUUGAAUAAAGAGAGGUUUGGAACACAUUUCUCGAUGCUUUAAAUCUACCUGGGAAAUUUCAGGAGAAUUGUCACAGCACAGAGCUCCCCAUAGCCAGUUUGCAGAGAUGCAACAUCACACACAGGUUUUUUUCCUAAGGGCAAGGUGUUGAAUUCUUGAGAGAAGUUUCGUUCUCAAAUCAAAGAUCCAUUCUCAAAUUUGCAUAGCACUAUCUCAACUGAAAUUCACCUCUGAGUAUUUUAGAAAAGCAAAUGUCUUACCUUCUCUUCACUGAAACCACUGUUAAUAACAAAACAAUUCCUAGGAUAGGAAAUGGACAGAAUGCUGUUGUUUUAGAAUUAUUUUAUAUAAAACAAGGAAGAUUAGUAUUUUAUAUCAUAUUCAAAUUUUAGCUUGAUCAUUCUUAUUAUGCAAAGAAAAAGGUCAGAAAAAGAUCACUUGUUUUUAAAUACAUUUAAUGUUAUGAAACAUAUUGCCUUUAUUUUGUUUAAAUCCUUGCUAAAUCUUAACAUCAACAAUAAUAAAAGGCUUUUAAAAACCUUUUCUUUAAUCACACAGUGGCCUCAUUGUUUUACUCUAAGGCAGAAAACAGAGUCAUCAUAAAUAAAACACUGACAUGGAAUAUAAGACAAACCCAGGCCAGACAGUUUGCUAAAAAGUUUAUGAAAAGUGCAUCUGGCUGGCUCAGGACUCCCUGAGUAAGGUAGACAUUCUCCCACACACCUCUUGGCUAUUUAGCCACUCAACAAGAAAAUCUGAAAUAAAGGCUGCCUUUCUCAUUUUAAGGGUAUUGCAUUUACAUGCCACUUACUGUGUGAGGUAGGAACCAGUUUCUAGGGGCUGUAUCUGGGCCUCACCUCCUUAUUGUUGCCCCUUCAUUUGCUAUGCAAAAAGAGAUUUAAGUGCAAAUCAAAACUGUAGCUAUGAAAGUGAACUACUGUUUAUUUUCAAUCACAAUUCAUUAGCUGAUUGUAAAGGACACUUUUCAUGAUUUUCACCUUAAAGGACACUUUUCAUGAUUUUCACCUUCAAAGCAAUAAGAGGCACAAAAAGCUAGAUGUAACUUUUUUUUCUUUUUUUUUCCCAAAGGAUGCCUCUGAAAAAUGGGGACUUGAGCACUAGAAGAAAACAGUGUGUUCAGGUUAUCGAAUUCAAAGCUCAAUGAAGUUUCUGUUUUGUAAAUGCACCCGGCCUGGAGUAAAUUCUUAACUGAAAAAUAGCAGCAACUCAAAAGUGCAUAAAUUACAAACUUCAUGAAUAAAUUAAGGAAAUGGAUUUGCUUCAUCUAACUAUCCUAACUGCCCCAAGAUCCUUUUCUUUUUACAAUGACAUGGAAAAUCUGAAUAAAGGUACUACUAAUUUGAAACUAAAACUACUCUAAAAUCUUCAGUAGAUUUCUUUCUGAGAUAAGGCAACUUGUCUUUUACCAAAAUUCAAAAUGUACACAGAAUGACUGGAAGUAGCCCAGUAACAGACAACCCCUCCUACACCACCAAGCCUUAAACAUAGGUUUUUCCAUUCAUAUGUACACUUGUAAUUCAGGGUGUGAGUUUUCUAGAAAUGCCAAACAUCUCAUUCCCAGGGAUUCUGAUUAUUGGAGAGCUUGUACAGUAGGAAGGCUGAGGAGAGGUCCAGUCCUGAGCAGUGGGGGAAGCAGGACGCUUGAGCAGAAUUUUCAGCUGUAGUGGGUGCAGCUGUGGGACUUGCAAUUACAAAGCUGUAAGUCCUGCAUUCAGAGCCUAGGCAGUCCAGUGGCCAUUUGAAGACUACAGACGACAGUACUAGAGUGACAUUUUGGAUCCCCAUAUUGAAGACCUUGGCUCUAGAGGACCCCCUUCCACCAGUUGUCCAUGAGAGGUUGUGCAUAGAGGUAGGAAAAGUGCUUAAUCAAUGUGUAAGGAAUGCAUUUACUCUGAAGUUCUUUAAUACGAAAUUACUCUUCAUCCUCAUAAGACAUAUUCAUAUUCAGGAUCAUAUUCAUCCAUGGCAGAGAUGAAUCCAUCAAUGCAGUAUCAGUAAUCCCUUUCUUUGCAGUGAGACGGUUUCCGCUUGCUGGCAUGCUCUUGGAAAAGUGUGCUGUUUCUUGACCAAAAUAGAUAGUUCCCAGUUCAUCUGUGGUGAAUAUUUAUUCUUCCUUUAGAACAAAUUUAAAUGCCAUAUUUCUUUCUACGGAUUUUGUUCAUGGGGGCACACUUUUUUUUUAAAAAACAGUUUGGGUAGAUCUUGUGUUUCUUCAUCUUAAGCACACUGUGUGUUGAACAGAGUAGAACUAGAAGACAACAGGUACAGAAGCAGCAGCACAAUGUUUUGAUGAAACACUUCCACAAUAGCAACUUCAAGCAUCUUGAACUUCACAGAAUCCACAAAAGCAUUCUUGUUUAAAAUGUGCUUUGCAAUAAGAACAUCAAGCUUUUCUCUUUUCCUUUCCAACCUACUGCAAGGACAGAAAUCCUGCUUUUCCUUAGCUAGAACCUAACCUCAUUCCUGCCAAUCCACUUUUAGUUACCAAGGCCUCAGAGCAAGGUGAGCAUCCAGGUUCUCAGCUGGAGUCAGUGCAGAUGAUAGUCUCUUAACAAGAAUAAUCAUCAAGGGUCCACUUUGCUAGAAACACAGCUGUGACAGCAUUUGCUUCACUGGAGGAGGAAGAUUCAGCUGCAGAUGUUGACCACGGCUGAAGAAAAAUUUCUUCUUUUUUUUUUUUUUUUUUCUUUUCCCCUGGAAAAUGUUUGCUUUUGUAAAGCAGGUAAAUGGGUAGCUUUCAAAUGUAAUUUUAAUAAUGUCAGUUCAUAAUUUCUGGUAAGGGAGAAAGUUUCACAGCUCAAAGAUGAGGCAGACAAUUUCAUACAUUUAGCAUGAAUUCAGAAGGGGUUAGGAUCUCU